UAUGUUUUGCAGAUGGGGUCUCUUUUUCUUCUUCUUCUUCACUACUGCGAUGAAAACUGGCACUAGCAUCAACUGUUAGGUCUGGUUCAAGACUACCCAUGUACGCAUGCAACUAUCAGAGCCUGGAUCGAGACUAUUUCGCACCCCUGUCCACUCCGCCUCUAAAAUUUGUGUUCUUCUCCUCUCUUGGUCAUCUACUUCGUGUGGUGUUCUUCGAAAAGGAAGUCAUGGAAGCUAUCACACAUACAUACACAGAGACAUAUACUUCACAUUUGAGAUAGAAAAUCAGAAAAGAAACAAAAAAAGAAAAGAAAAUUUUUGCGGAAGAUUAUGGCCUCAAAGGAAACCCAAGAUUUCUAGCCAUUUCUCAAGCCAUCAGAGUCGUUUCUCAGAUUUAUGUCCCAAUUAAGGAAGAAGGUGACCGCUGGUAUAUGGUUAUUAGCUUAUUGGAUGAAAAAUUAUAUCAGUUUGAUUCUAAUCUAAAUGAUGAUCAAGUUGAGCCAAGAUAAGAAAUUGUAAAAUCCUUGGUAAGAUGUCCAUAACCCAUUUCUUUAUACACAGACUAUAUGUAAAAUAAUACAUAAAUCUUAACAGAUUAGUCAAGAACAAAAUUUUCAGGCUAUAAGAUUAUCAGAUAUGGUAACUUUUGGGCAUUACCUAAAAGGUGACAUUCCUGAAAGAAAAGAUUUCAUGAAUUUUGAUGUGAAAAAGGUUAGGGGGUGCCAAUUGUCCUCAAAGGUACACAUAAUUGCAGUGAAUCUUUUAUUUACACCUUUAAUUAAAGUGAUCUUUUAUUGAUACUAACUAGUUAAUAUUGCCACUGAACUUUUAGUCGCGACUCUGGUGUUUGGGUUCUUCAAUGGUUGUCUAUGACAGAGAAGUUUAAUCCCACGGUGUCGGUAUUCUAAAUGAGCAAUAUAUUCGGACAUUCAUUGUGAUAGAUCUUUUGUUGGGAUGUUCAAUGACCAUAAUUCCACAAAUACGAGUUUUAGAAGAAGAAUAAUGAUUUUUAGGCUAGGCUUUAGAGUGAAUAGUAUGGAGAUCAACAUUUUUGCCUAUUUUGUUAUUAUUUGAAAAAUUUGUUGUAAUCCUCAAUUAUAAAUGAGAUUAGUG